AUUGAACGCUGGCGGCAUGCCUUACACAUGCAAGUCGAACGGUAACAGGUCUUCGGAUGCUGACGAGUGGCGAACGGGUGAGUAAUACAUCGGAACGUGCCCGAUCGUGGGGGAUAACGAGGCGAAAGCUUUGCUAAUACCGCAUACGAUCUACGGAUGAAAGCGGGGGAUCUUCGGACCUCGCGCGGGCGGAGCGGCCGAUGGCAGAUUAGGUAGUUGGUGGGAUAAAAGCUUACCAAGCCGACGAUCUGUAGCUGGACUGAGAGGAUGAUCAGCCACACUGGGACUGAGACACGGCCCAGACUCCUACGGGAGGCAGCAGUGGGGAAUUUUGGACAAUGGGCGAAAGCCUGAUCCAGCCAUGCCGCGUGCAGGAUGAAGGCCUUCGGGUUGUAAACUGCUUUUGUACGGAACGAAAAGCCUCUUUCUAAUAAAGAGGGGUCAUGACGGUACCGUAAGAAUAAGCACCGGCUAACUACGUG
rnacentral:rRNA from 1 species